GACGAACGCUGGCGGCGUGCUUAACACAUGCAAGUCGAACGGAAAGGCCCUGCUUUUGUGGGGUGCUCGAGUGGCGAACGGGUGAGUAACACGUGAGUAACCUGCCCUUGACUUUGGGAUAACUUCAGGAAACUGGGGCUAAUACCGGAUAGGAGCUCCUGCUGCAUGGUGGGGGUUGGAAAGUUUCGGCGGUUGGGGAUGGACUCGCGGCUUAUCAGCUUGUUGGUGGGGUAGUGGCUUACCAAGGCUUUGACGGGUAGCCGGCCUGAGAGGGUGACCGGCCACAUUGGGACUGAGAUACGGCCCAGACUCCUACGGGAGGCAGCAGUGGGGAAUAUUGCACAAUGGGCGGAAGCCUGAUGCAGCAACGCCGCGUGCGGGAUGACGGCCUUCGGGUUGUAAACCGCUUUCGCCUGUGACGAAGCGUGAGUGACGGUAAUGGGUAAAGAAGCACCGGCUAACUACGUGCCAGCAGCCGCGGUGAUACGUAGGGUGCGAGCGUUGUCCGGAUUUAUUGGGCGUAAAGGGCUCGUAGGUGGUUGAUCGCGUCGGAAGUGUAAUCUUGGGGCUUAACCCUGAGCGUGCUUUCGAUACGGGUUGACUUGAGGAAGGUAGGGGAGAAUGGAAUUCCUGGUGGAGCGGUGGAAUGCGCAGAUAUCAGGAGGAACACCAGUGGCGAAGGCGGUUCUCUGGGCCUUUCCUGACGCUGAGGAGCGAAAGCGUGGGGAGCGAACAGGCUUAGAUACCCUGGUAGUCCACGCUGUAAACGGUGGGUACUAGGUGUGGGGUCCAUUCCACGGGUUCCGUGCCGUAGCUAACGCUUUAAGUACCCCGCCUGGGGAGUACGGCCGCAAGGCUAAAACUCAAAGGAAUUGACGGGGCCCCGCACAAGCGGCGGAGCAUGCGGAUUAAUUCGAUGCAACGCGUAGAACCUUACCUGGGUUUGACAUGGAUCGGGAGUGCUCAGAGAUGGGUGUGCCUCUUUUGGGGUCGGUUCACAGGUGGUGCAUGCCUGUCGUCAGCUCGUGUCGUGAGAUGUUGGGUUAAGUCCCGCAACGAGCGCAACCCUUGUUCACUGUUGCCAGCACGUUAUGGUGGGGACUCAGUGGAGACCGCCGGGGUCAACUCGGAGGAAGGUGGGGAUGACGUCAAGUCCUCAUGCCCCUUAUGUCCAGGGCUUCACGCAUGCUACAAUGGCUGGUACAGAGAGUGGCGAGCAUGUGAGGGUGAGCGAAUCUCGGAAAGCCGGUCUCAGUUCGGAUUGGGGUCUGCAACUCGACCUCAUGAAGUCGGAGUCGCUAGUAAUCGCAGAUCAGCAACGCUGCGGUGAACACGUUCCCGGGGCU
rnacentral:rRNA from 1 species